rnacentral:lncRNA from 1 species
AAAUAAAGUGAAUUCCAGGAUUUUUUAUUUAUUUUUUGAUAGACGACGGCAGAUUGAAUUGAUAAACACCUACAAAUAGGGGGCACACCCUAUGUAUACUGACAAUUUACAAACAAAACCCAACUAGGCUGCAUGACCUACAAUAGGGAGGCUAGUCUCCGUUAAGGACAUCCAAAAUUCCAAACCCGUUGAGACCACUCUAAUACUUCAGACUUUGGUCAGACGUCUCCUCCACCUGGACAUCCAAAAUUCCAAAACCCGUUGAGACCACUCUAAUAGUUCAGACUUUGGUCGGACAUCUCCUCCACCUGAAAAGUCCUAGGAUUUCCUUGCCCCAGAUACACCAAAAUAGACAAAUCA